rnacentral:rRNA from 1 species
AGCGAACGCUGGCGGCGUGCCUAACACAUGCAAGUCGAACGUGAAAAGGGGCAACCCUGAGUAAAGUGGCGUACGGGUGAGUAACACGUAGGUAAUCUACCCUAGAAUCUGGAAUAACCUGCCGAAAGGCGGGCUAAUACUGGAUAGAGCGACGGAAUUCGUAAUCGGAUUUUCGGGAAAGGGAGCUCGCAAGAGCCUUCGUUCUAGGAUGAGCCUGCGUCCCAUUAGCUAGUUGGUAGGGUAAUGGCCUACCAAGGCUUUGAUGGGUAGCUGGUCUGAGAGGAUGAUCAGCCACACUGGAACUGAAACACGGUCCAGACUCCUACGGGAGGCAGCAGUGGGGAAUCUUGCGCAAUGGACGAAAGUCUGACGCAGCAACGCCGCGUGAGUGAAGAAGGCCUUCGGGUUGUAAAGCUCUGUCGAGCGGGACGAAAAGUUUUUGGGUUAAUAGCCCAAAGAUGUGACGGUACCGCUAAAGGAAGCACCGGCUAACUCUGUG